UAGCCUCCCAAAAUAACAUGCAAUCAUUUGGACAUGCAUGAAUUGACUCAGAAGUCAAUCCUAAUUUGCGAACAACUUUUUUCAUGUCAUUAAAUGAACCUGGCAAUCUCGCUUGUGUAAAAGCUUCUUUCAGCAAAUCAAGUACCAUAGAUAUUCCCUUGUCGCUAAUUCUACACAUACAUUUGAUAUGGUACAACUUCAAUA
rnacentral:sRNA from 1 species